rnacentral:rRNA from 1 species
AGUGAACGCUGGCGGUAGGCCUAACACAUGCAAGUCGAACGGCAGCACAGUAAGAGCUUGCUCUUACGGGUGGCGAGUGGCGGACGGGUGAGGGAUACAUCGGAAUCUACUUUUUCGUGGGGGAUAACGUAGGGAAACUUACGCUAAUACCGCAUACGACCUACGGGUGAAAGCAGGGGAUCUUCGGACCUUGCGCGAUUGAAUGAGCCGAUGUCGGAUUAGCUAGUUGGCGGGGUAAAGGCCCACCAAGGCGACGAUCCGUAGCUGGUCUGAGAGGAUGAUCAGCCACACUGGAACUGAGACACGGUCCAGACUCCUACGGGAGGCAGCAGUGGGGAAUAUUGGACAAUGGGCGCAAGCCUGAUCCAGCCAUACCGCGUGGGUGAAGAAGGCCUUCGGGUUGUAAAGCCCUUUUGUUGGGAAAGAAAAGCAGCAGGUUAAUACCCCGCUGUUCUGACGGGACCCAAAGAAUAAACACCGGCUAACUUCGG